rnacentral:rRNA from 1 species
GAUGAACGCUGGCGGCGUGCCUAAUACAUGCAAGUCGAGCGAACGGACGAGAAGCUUGCUUCUCUGAUGUUAGCGGCGGACGGGUGAGUAACACGUGGAUAACCUACCUAUAAGACUGGGAUAACUUCGGGAAACCGGAGCUAAUACCGGAUAAUAUUUUGAACCGCAUGGUUCAAAAGUAAAAGACGGUCUUGCUGUCACUUAUAGAUGGAUCCGCGCUGCAUUAGCUAGUUGGUAAGGUAACGGCUUACCAAGGCAACGAUGCAUAGCCGACCUGAGAGGGUGAUCGGCCACACUGGAACUGAGACACGGUCCAGACUCCUACGGGAGGCAGCAGUAGGGAAUCUUCCGCAAUGGGCGAAAGCCUGACGGAGCAACGCCGCGUGAGUGAUGAAGGUCUUCGGAUCGUAAAACUCUGUUAUUAGGGAAGAACAUAUGUGUAAGUAACUGUGCACAUCUUGACGGUACCUAAUCGGAAAGCCACGGCUAACUACGUG